rnacentral:rRNA from 1 species
UGGGGAAUAUUGGACAAUGGGCGCAAGCCUGAUCCAGCCAUGCCGCGUGAGUGAUGAAGGCCCUAGGGUUGUAAAGCUCUUUCACCGGUGAAGAUAAUGACGGUAACCGGAGAAGAAGCCCCGGCUAACUUCGUGCCAGCAGCCGCGGUAAUACGAAGGGGGCUAGCGUUGUUCGGAUUUACUGGGCGUAAAGCGCACGUAGGCGGACUUUUAAGUCAGGGGUGAAAUCCCGGGGCUCAACCCCGGAACUGCCUUUGAUACUGGAAGUCUUGAGUAUGGUAGAGGUGAGUGGAAUUCCGAGUGUAGAGGUGAAAUUCGUAGAUAUUCGGAGGAGCACCAGUGGCGAAGGCGGCUCACUGGACCAUUACUGACGCUGAGGUGCGAAAGCGUGGGGAGCAAACAGGAUUAGAUACCCAGGUAGUCCCUGAGCGGGCUGGCAAGGCGCAU